AGUGAACGCUGGCGGUAUGCCUAACACAUGCAAGUCGAACGGUUCCACACUAAGAGCUUGCGCUAACGGGUGGGGAGUGGAGAACGAGCGUGGAAUACACCGGAGGCUAACUUUUGGUGGGGGAUAAUGAGGGGAAACUGACGCAGAUAUCGCAUACGAUCUAUGGGUAAAAGCAUGGGAGCUUGGGACAUGAUGCGAUUGUAGCAGAUGAUGUCGGAUUAGCUUGUUGGCAGGGUAAAGGCCAACCAAGGCGACGAUCCGUAGCUGGUCUGAGAGGAUGAUCCGCCACACUGGAACUGAUACACGGUCCAGACUCCUACGGGAGGCAGCAGUAGGGAAUAUUCGGCAAUGGGCGAAACCCUGAUCCAGCCAUGCCGCGUGGAUGAAGAAGUCCUUCGUGUUGUAAACCUCUUUUGUUGGGGAAGAAAAGCGGCAGGUUGAUACCCUGCUGUUCUGACGGUACCCAAUAAGUAAGCACCGGCUAACUUCGUG
rnacentral:rRNA from 1 species